rnacentral:rRNA from 1 species
GACGAACGCUGGCGGCGUGCUUAACACAUGCAAGUCGAGCGGUAAGGCCCUUUCGGGGGUACGACGAGCGGCGAACGGGUAGAGUAACACGUGGGUGGACCUCGCCCUCCAGCUCUGGGAGUAAAGCCUCGGGAAACCGGGGUACUAAUAACCGGAUAUGACUCCAUGACGCAUGUUGUGGGGUGGAAAGCCUUGUGCGGCUGAGGAUGGGCCCGGCGGCCUAUCAGCUUGUUGGUGGGGUGAUGGCCUACCAAGGCGACGACGGGUAGCCGGCCUGAGAGGGCGACCGGCCACACUGGGACUGAGACACGGCCCAGACUCCUACGGGAGGCAGCAGUGGGGAAUCUUGCGCAAUGGGCGAAAGCCUGACGCAGCGACGCCGCGUGAGGGAUGACGGCCUGUGUAAC